rnacentral:rRNA from 1 species
CCUACGGGAGGCAGCAGUGGGGAAUAUUGGACAAUGGGGGCAACCCUGAUCCAGCCAUGCCGCGUGAGUGAUGAAGGCCUUAGGGUUGUAAAGCUCUUUUAGCAGGGAAGCGGUACCUGCAGAAAAAGCCCCGGCUAACUUCGUGCCAGCAGCCGCGGUAAUACGAAGGGGGCUAGCGUUGCUCGGAAUCACUGGGCGUAAAGCGCACGUAGGCGGCUUCUUAAGUCAGGGGUGAAAUCCUGGAGCUCAACUCCAGAACUGCCUUUGAUACUGAGGAGCUUGAGUCCGGGAGAGGUGAGUGGAACUGCGAGUGUAGAGGUGAAAUUCGUAGAUAUUCGCAAGAACACCAGUGGCGAAGGCGGCUCACUGGCCCGGACUGACGCUGAGGUGCGAAAGCGUGGGGAGCAAACAGGAUUAGAUACCCUUGUAGUC